rnacentral:rRNA from 1 species
UACGUAGGGGGCAAGCGUUGUCCGGAUUUACUGGGCGUAAAGAGCGCGCAGGCGGUCGUUCAAGUCGAGUGUGAAAGCCCCCGGCUCAACUGGGGAGGGUCACUCGAUACUGAUCGACUUGAAGGCAGGAGAGGGAAGCGGAAUUCCCGGUGUAGUGGUGAAAUGCGUAGAUAUCUGGAGGAACACCGGUGGCGAAGGCGACAUCCUGGACCGGUAUUGACGCUGAGGCGCGAAAGCCAGGGGAGCAAACGGG